rnacentral:lncRNA from 1 species
CGUUUGGACAGUAUGAGUUGCCUUCCUAUAAACAGGAUACAGGAAGGCAACUCAUACUGACCAGUAUUUGAUGUUUGACUCUAACCAUCCACUCCAACACAAAAUAGGGGUCAUUAGGACACUCAGACAUAGAGCUAAAGAGGUGCCUACCAGUGCAGAAGGAAAGACCAAAGAGGAGCAACAUGUCCAGAGAGCCCUCUCAGACUGUGGCUAUCCUAACUGGUCCUUCACUAAAGCACAAAGGGCAGGAAGACCCAAAGAACAAGACAGACAGACUACAGAACCCAGAAGAAAUGGAGUUGCAGUGCCGUAUGUAGCCGGGGUAUCAGAGAAACUUCAGAGAAUCUUUAAACAGCACAGGAUCCCAGUGUACCACAAACCUGUGAACACACUGAGACAAAAAUUAGUUCAUCCCAAAGACAAAACUCCUAGCCACAAACGAAGCAAUUUGGUUUAUUCUAUUCGAUGCAAAGAAGAAGAAUGCAAAGAACAUUAUAUUGGAGAAACCAAACAAGUCUUACAGAAGAGACUUUAUCAACACCGAAGAGAAAGCACAAGCGGCCCUCAGUCGGCUGUGCACCUUCACCUUAAAGCCUCCAAUCACUCCUUUGAGGACGGGGAGGUCAAAAUUCUAGCUAAAGAAGAACGUUGGUUUGAAAGAGGAGUAAAAGAAGCUAUUUUUGUCAGAAAAGAAAAUCCCUCCAUGAACCGAAAUGGUGGGCUAAGAUUUAAUCUUUCUUCUUUUUACUCCAAUCUGCUUCGGGGAAAACCGACAGAGCACGGCCAGUCCAAGAAGACGAUACCUCAGCUAACAAAAGAACAAUAGGCAGGUGAUUAGCAGUGAUCAUCUAUGAAUAGGACAGGACUGACCGAUACUGGGGGGAGCAGGUCGUUACAGACGCUCUACUUCAAAGGUGUUUACCCAUAGGUGAGAGUAGCUGUGAUUAGAGGGGAGGAGCCGGGUCAACCCCAACUCCUCCCAACUGGUCUUUAUCUACGCUGCGUGUUGAGCGUAACUUUGUUCACUGACGAAGCCUUUUGGAUGAGAGGCGAAACGUUU